rnacentral:rRNA from 1 species
AGUGAACGCUGGCGGUAGGCCUAACACAUGCAAGUCGAACGGCAGCACAGUAAGAGCUUGCUCUUACGGGUGGCGAGUGGCGGACGGGUGAGGAAUACAUCGGAAUCUACUUUUUCGUGGGGGAUAACGUAGGGAAACUUACGCUAAUACCGCAUACGACCUACGGGUGAAAGCAGGGGAUCUUCGGACCUUGCGCGAUUGAAUGAGCCGAUGUCGGAUUAGCUAGUUGGCGGGGUAAAGGCCCACCAAGGCGACGAUCCGUAGCUGGUCUGAGAGGAUGAUCAGCCACACCGGAACUGAGACACGGUCCAGACUCCUACGGGAGGCAGCAGUGGGGAAUAUUGGACAAUGGGCGCAAGCCUGAUCCAGCCAUACCGCGUGGGUGAAGAAGGCCUUCGGGUUGUAAAGCCCUUUUGUUGGGAGAGAAAAGCAGCAGGUUAAUACCCCGCUGUUCUGACGGUACCCAAAGAAUAAGCACCGGCUAACUUCGUG